rnacentral:rRNA from 1 species
UACGAAGGGGGCUAGCGUUGCUCGGAAUUACUGGGCGUAAAGCGCACGUAGGCGGCUUUCUAAGUCGGGGGUGAAAUCCUGAGGCUCAACCUCAGAACUGCCUUCGAUACUGGCGAUCUUGAGUUCGGAAGAGGUUGGUGGAACAGCUAGUGUAGAGGUGAAAUUCGUAGAUAUUAGCUAGAACACCAGUGGCGAAGGCGGCCAACUGGUCCGAUACUGACGCUGAGGUGCGAAAGCGUGGGGAGCAAACAGG